rnacentral:rRNA from 1 species
CUAAACGACUCUCGGCAUAGAUAUCUCAGCUCUCGCAUUGAUGAAGAACGUAGCAAAAUGCGAUACUUGGUGUGAAUUACGGAAUCUAGUGAACCAUUGAGUCUUUGAACCCAAGUUGUGCUCGAAGCCAUCAGGCCAAGGGCACGUCUGCCUGGGCGUCACCC